CAACGACGGGUUUUUGAAAACCGUUGUAGCUGAACCCAUUGUACAAAGAUGAUUUUACAAAACAGUCUUAGAAUGAUAUAAGUUAUUUGUCGCACCUGGCUUGCUCAUUGUUCUCUCAGUCUCAUGCAGCUCUUUGUAACACUCAACCUCUCCUCUCACUCACGCCUAAGGUUCUUCGAGUCCUUCUGUUCGUCGUUGUCGCAUUGCGCUCGAGACCCUAGAAGUGAAUUGUGGUUGCAGAGAAAAAAUGGAGGGAACAAGAGCAGGAACCGCAACAGGGUCUUACAAGUGUGGCAAACCUGGUCACUGGUUACGAGAUUGCCCUUUCUCCGCUCCCAAUUCCAAUUUCAAUCUCAAUCCAAACCCUAACUCUAUCACCGCCACCACUCCCAAUCCCAAUACUCCAAAUCGUUCUUCGUCUUCUUUCAAGCCCAAAUCCGCCACCAAAAAGCCCAACAUGCUCCCUCGAACAAAACCCAAACUCACACCGGAGCUUCUUCUCUCCGACGACGACCUCGGUUACGCCCUUCGCUAUUUCCCUCGCAAGUUCAAAUACUGUGGUCGUGGCCACGAGUUUGUUCACAAAGUAGAGAAAGUUGCUGCUACAAGGCGUGGAAAGGUACGCACUCUUUCUCCUCAGAUGUCUAUUUCUUUAGUGUUACAUAUUAGCAUGCAACUAUGCAUAAAUAAAUAUAAAUUAAGUAUGAUACUGGAUAGGGUCACACUGUUAGGUUAGGUGUCUGUAUCCUGCCUAUGUUGUCUUAUUACUCCCUCCUUUUGGAAAAUUAAUUAACUUUAAUCAACCUGGCUGUUAAAUUGUACAUAAUUAUCAUGUGAAUUUCAAACAAUUAAGCAGCUAUUAAUUUGAGAUCACAUUUUUGGGUCAAUACUUAGAUGUAGUUCCUUUGGUGCUUUUGAUGUUGUUCUUCAAUUAAAAUUUGAGUUUGUGUUUGGUAACCUGCAAAACAAAGGUAUACCAAAGUGAAACCUUAAUUUUGUUACAGUGAUUAGUUGAAACUAAUUUUCAACUGAGGGUGAAAAUAAAGUACAUUGGUAUAAAAAAGGAUUACUUUUUAAUUCCAAAUUCCCCACCUACUGGAUCAAUUGAGUGUGUAAGCACUCGCGUGUUUACCAUGAAGGAUUGCCUUAGCUGAAAGUUCCAGAGUCCUAGUUGCAAAUUUCAAAUUCUCUUUUGUGCCAUUUGAAGUCAUAAGCCUUUAGGUUAGCAUUUACCUACUAAACUUUGAUUCCCUUAACCUUUGACUCAAUAGAGCUAUGCUACACUUAUCUGUAGUGGUUACUGAACAACUUUAUGUUUGAUUGUUCAUGAAGUCUAAAUCUUUGACUGGCUAGGCAAUAUGAUUUAGUGGUUUUUGCUUUCCUUUUUUCUUCUUUUGUGUUUGGUAUUCACUUUUUCCCCCUUAUGUAUAAUGCUUGUCUAUUCUUGAUAGUUGGGUCAUUUAUCAUUCUAUAUGAGUGGAAAGAUAUGAGUAUGACAGUAUUUUGAGUUACCUUGAAACUAAGGGCCAAAGAGGACUUUGAGGCUUAGGUGAUGGUGUCAGAUUUGAUAUGGGGGAUUAUGUAUAACGUAAAUAUGAAUGCCAUAGUGAAUCCAUACAUUGUCAAUCUUGGAAGAGCAAACAUGCCAUAGUGAAUCCAUACAUUGUCCAUGUUGGAAGAGCAAAUUUUCCAAGUAGAAAUUUUUCAUAGGCAAUGUUUUUAACAACGGAAAUUUCUGACUGCCUCUUAACUUUUUGCUAGUCUAUGGAUAUUCUUCAGGUGCUAGUGGAAAGUGGAACAAGUGAGACUCUGCUCAUAUCUUAUGCUUAUUUCAUAUUUCUGUACAGAGCUAUCUAUGUAAAGUCUAUUCUGCGUGUGUUUUUUCCUCUAAUUUUGUUGGUUUGGCACAUCAAGAAAGACACACGAGGAGCUAUGAGCUGUCUCCAUUGCCUAUGGACAUGUGCUUCUAAGGUCUAUAAACUACCAUUCCCAUGAAGAACAUUUCAAUUCUGAUCAGUAGUUAAACUUUUCCCUACACCAAAAUCAUCUCUUCACUAAUGGAAGGUGGACUAAAGGGAAGCUCAUUUCAAGAUAUGAAGUUUGUUUGUUGAAAUGGGUGUUGGCUAUGACCUUCAUGGGUAUUCUAUUUUAUUAUUUUAGUCUUCUAGAGCAUAAAGUUUAGUGAGUAAAGUGAAGACCAAAAGCUAUGAUUUUUUAAUGAAAUAUAACUAUGAGAAUUCAAUUCCUAAUUCUUUUAUAAAAAAAUUGCUGCUUUACAGCAAAACUCAAUUUUAGUCUCAUUUAUGUUGCCUACUUACAUUUGAUAGUUUCUAACAUUCUUUUUUUUGUCUCUUCGAAUUUUUUAUAUAUUCAAAUGAUAUUAUUCUUAAAAUAUAUAACAGUCAGGACAUAAUAGUUGCUGGAAUGAGAACAUGCAGAGAUGCAAUUGCUAGCAAUUCAAUUCCAGCUUUUGUAAAGGUAGCAUCCUUGGUGUUACAUAUGAUCACAUGAAACUACAAGUCAAACUGGGGGUGCCUCAUCCUCUGCAAAAAAAACUUGGACAAGGACAAAAUUAAGUGUGUGUUUCCAUAGUAUUAUGUAUUUUAUCAAACUAUCUACCACCUAGAGAUAGUUUGACAUCAUCUACCCCAUCCCCAUCUGCAAUAUCUAUACCGGUCAGAUCUUCCGAUGUUGCACCUACACCAUCUCCACUUCCAACUGAAGUUAGACCAUCUCCAUCACAUUAAGAUGCACGUGGACCGUCCCCGGUACCUACAUCCACACCAUCCCCAUUCCUGAUUGAUGCACGUGAAUCAUCCUCGAUACCUAUAUCCACACCAUCUCCAUCCUUGGCUGUAGCCAACAUGCUUACAGAUGAAGACGUUCCAAAUUUGGCCAUGGAAGACUCUCCCUCAAUGAUCGUCUUAUGGUUACACUUAUCAAUGGAGCGUUUCAUCCAUCUAAGGUUGCAACAAAGGAUCAUCAGGAACAAUUUGGUCACCCUUGGCCUUCAUAGGGAGCAAUUCCAAAAGAUCAUCAGGAAGUUUUUUCCAGCAUUUUAAAGUAACUUAUCUUUCUGUAAUGAAUUAGUUCACUGGUUGAAAUGGAUAGUUAUGCUGAUUUUGUUUUAUUUGAUCUGAAAUUGUAAAAUUGGUAUUUUUCUCA